AUUAAUAAUAAAGUGUAUAAUAGUGUAUAAAUGGAGUUGGAAUUUAAUUUAAAUUAGGUAUUUGAUAAAAUUAAUAUUGGGGAAAAAAUGACAAGAAUUUAUAACUAUUAAAGAUACUCAACUACAAUCCAUAAAAUUUCAACCCAAAGGAAGAUAAGGAUGAGUUAAAUAUCAAUAAUAAAGUAGGAAUUGAUACCUACACACAAUUAUAAGGACAAAGUGAUUGUCCUGCAGGAACAUGUAAGCAUCAACAGCAGGGAAAAUACAGGUCAUAAGAAACGGAUUCAGCAGUUCCAAGAUUUAGGGCGCAUGAAAGCAAUUGAAGUAAAACUUUUAGUAUGAGGUGAAAGUAGACAUAUAGGGCUUUCGUGUAAAAAUCACCAAUCACCAAAAUUAUUAUUAUUAACAAAAAAAAUCGCAAAGUUAGGUGUAAUUUUUGGCCACUUUGUCUUGUUGUUAUAAAAAACGAAGUAAGGCACAAAUCAUUCGGGAAAUACCUUUACUUGAAGCAGAAUAGUCCGCAGAAACCGUUUCCGGUCAUAUCAACACAUUUUGUUACGUUAAUUAGGAGAAAACUUGGAACUACGAAAUUAUAUGGAAUAAUAAAUAAACCGCUGACAUAGGCAAACACUCUAACAUAAAAAUAGUUCAGGACAUACUCUCAAAGAUGGCGCCAUAUUUAUAAAUAAAAUAUUUAAUUUAUUAAAAUAAUUGUAUUAUAAUAUAAUAUAUAUAUUUAUAAUUAAUAUAAGUAUAUUAAGCCCCCUAGUUACUAACGUUGAAAUAAUAAUUUUUUUAUUACAAAUAAAAGAAAUUAGUGGAACGAAAAAUAUAAUAUGACGAAACAUUUCGUCGAAAUCCAUACAAUCGUUAGCUACGCGGAUUGGUGAAGUGGUGAUUCUGGAAAAUCGAGGCAUAUUAUUUAUUUAUUAAAAUUAUAGAGGGUGUGUCAAAUGUCUGGAAUAUAGCCAAUAACUUCG